CAUCACUACGCUAGAUGCAUAUCAAUAAGCGGAGGAAAAGAAACUAACAAGGAUUCCCCUAGUAACGGCGAGUGAAGCGGGAAGAGCUCAAAUUUGAAAUCUUCAAGGUUCUACCUUGACGAAUUGUAGUUUAUAGAAGUGUUUUCUGUUAGUAGAGUGGCUAAAAGUUCUUUGGAAUAGGACAUCAUAGAGGGUGAGAAUCCCGUAUUUGGUCAUUCCUCCUAGCGUUGUGAUACACUUUCAACGAGUCGGAUUGUUUGGGAAUGCAGUCCAAGAAUGGGUGGUAAAUUUCAUCUAAAGCUAAAUAUUGGCGAGAGACCGAUAGCGAACAAGUACCGUGAGGGAAAGAUGAAAAGAACUUUGAAAAGAGAGUUAAACAGUACGUGAAAUUGUCAAAAGGGAAGCGUUUGACACCAGUGUUGUUUAGUUGAAAAUCAAUUCAAAUAGUUUUUGAUUCUAAGUAGUAUUGACUUCAUCAGCUUGCUGCUUCUCUUCUCAGAAUUAUUGAAUGCACUUUUCAGUUAACAAGUCAACAUCAAGUUUCUUUUGUUGUAAAAAGGGUAAUAGGAAGGUGGCUUGCGCUUCGGCUCAAGUGUUUAUAGCCUUUUACCUCUGCAAUCGGAGAGAUUGAGGACAGCAGCGUAGACUCUUCGGGGUUAGAUACACUUGUGCUAAGCUAUAGCCUUGUAUAGACAACUUGUUGACUAUGCUCAGUCAUGUAGCUUACUCGCUUGUGCUAUUUUACCUACGCUUAGGAUGUUGACACACGCGCGUGCUCG
rnacentral:rRNA from 1 species